rnacentral:tRNA from 1 species
GGGGAUGUAGCUCAGUUGGUAGAGUGCUUGCCUCCUAUGCACAAAGCCCUGGGUUCAAUCCCCAGCACCACAA